AUUGAACGCUGGCGGCAUGCCUUACACAUGCAAGUCGAACGGUAACGGGCCUUCGGGUGCCGACGAGUGGCGAACGGGUGAGUAAUGUAUCGGAACGUACCUUUCAGUGGGGGAUAACGUAGCGAAAGUUACGCUAAUACCGCAUAUUCUGUGAGCAGGAAAGCAGGGGAUCGCAAGACCUUGCGCUGAUUGAGCGGCCGAUCUCAGAUUAGCUAGUUGGUGAGGUAAAGGCUCACCAAGGCGACGAUCUGUAGCGGGUCUGAGAGGAUGAUCCGCCACACUGGAACUGAGACACGGUCCAGACUCCUACGGGAGGCAGCAGUGGGGAAUUUUGGACAAUGGGGGCAACCCUGAUCCAGCCAUGCCGCGUGAGUGAAGAAGGCCUUCGGGUUGUAAA
rnacentral:rRNA from 1 species